CAACCCUGCUGACAGAGGCUUCCCCUCCAGUGCCAGAGGCAGACACAGACACAGACAGUGACUGUGGGUGUGACCAGCACUGCGACAGAGGGAAGGAGGCACUCUGGCUGGGGAAGCCAGGGCAGAUGGCAUCUGAUCUGCUUCAAGGAUGCUCAAAGGCUCCUGACUGUGGAGAGCUAAAGCUGCCAGGAGCUGCCUGUGCUUGCCAAGUGGUUGCAGAUGUUUCCUCCCUACUGCUCUGACUUUGCCAGGAGCAUAAAUUCAGUGAAUCUACGUGACUCUCAGUGAUGGCAUCAUUGCCUAAUAUCCACCCAGCUUCUGCUUGAAAACUUC
rnacentral:lncRNA from 1 species